GGGGGGGUGGGAUGGGGGGGGAAGAGACGAUAGUGGGGGAGGAGGGGGAGAGGACGAGAAAAGUACGGGGGGGGUCCCCGCUGCCCCAGCGCCCCGCCUCCUCCAAUCAGCGGUCGGGCUGGCGGGCAGGGGUUAACCAGGGGACCCCGCGCCGGCACAGAAGGCCGCCGCCUCGCCGGGCGGCUGAGGGCGGGAGGGCGGCGGCGCCAGCGGGCGGCCUGCGACACGAAGGGAGGUCGGGCCGCCCAGAGAGCGGCCCGGGCCGGAGUCCCGGACCUCGGCUGCCUUUGUACAACCGGCCCCGCCCCACGGGAUCAGCCGCAACUGAGGCGGCUGGGUCAGAACUCUGGACCGCGGAUCAACGCUAGAGGGGCCUCGCUGCCUGUGCCAGCGCUUCCCGGAUCCGCCUCGCGGAACCCGCGCCCACCUAAUCCCUCGUCUCCACGAGUUUAGAUGUCUGGAGUUGACUUAAGGACUACAAGUGAAUCCAUGAGAGAAAAAUUCAGACACUGAACAACAGCCUUGAAAUUUUCCAGGGAGUAGGCAAGUACUUCAAGUGGAGUUUCUGCCUUUUUUUCACCUUCCUGUUACUUCGUAAUUCUUCCAUAUUUUAACAAAACAGACCAGCUGAAAGAGCAAAGAAUGGCAGUUUCUGUUGUCCAACCUCCCAAGCCCUUGGGCAAAUUCAAGCACUGUGGAAAAACUCCAUUAAACCAAGAGUCACCUUGCUCCAGAUCCAAGCCAGGUUGGGAAGUGCACACACAUAUUUCCGAAGUGUUUGAAGGGGAGGAGGAGAAAAACUCGGAGGCAGAAGGUAGAAGAAAAGGGCAAGAUGAAGGACUAUCAAGAGCAGGAGACUCAACAGGCUAGUGUACAUAUGACUUGCCUUCCAUUCUAACACAAACGAAAAGGGAAUGAGCCAAGCUCUUUCACUAUAGUGAAUGGUCAAGAAAGUUAACUCCUUAAAAUGACAUUGAAAUGUCUUAAAUGAGGAGAGAAGAGUUUAAGGAAAUAGCACAGCUGAGUUUCACCCCAGCUCUUCCACACACAAGCUGUAUGGGCCUGUGACCUAACCUUUUCAAGAUUUGCCAACCUCAACUGUGAAGGAGUUUAGAGGAUUUCCAAAGGCCUUUCAUAUCUGAAAGGCUAUUAUUCCAUUUUUUUAAUUAUUUAAAGUAAUCACUGCAACACAGGAAAAGAGACUUUUUAGCUUCUCUUCUCCUAGUGUGUUUUUCUCUGCACAUUAAGGAACUUACACUUUUCCCUGGCUGGUGUGGCUCAGUGCAUUGAGCACCAGCCUGCGAACGGAAAGGUUGCCAGUUCGAUUCCUGGUCAGGGCAUAUGCCUGGGUUACAGGCCUGUUCCCUGGUUGGAGCCUAUAAUAUAGCUCUCCCUCUCUUCCCCUCUCUCUGAAAAUAAAUAAAUAUUUUUUUAAAAAAAGAACUUACACUGUCAUAGAUCUAUUCACAGCCCCACUCUAAAUUUAACACAUACCAAUAGGAAUUCAUACCAGUAGGAAUUUAAUGAAUUUGCUUACCACAAAGAUUCAUGCUUCUAUUUAUAGAUAUUAUGUAAAUGAAAGUAUCAAAUAACAGAGUAAGGAAAAAAACAGACAAUAUGGUUUACUCUUUCCCAGAGAAAAAUGGAUAAUUUCUAAAUAAUUCUGUUGUCAAAUGGUACCUCUUACAAUGUGAUUUAACCUUGGAUUUGUGAAUAAACUUGUUUAAAGUGUGUUUGAUCACAUGGCAACUUUGUGAGACUCAACUUGUCAUGGACUGGCAAAUAGUCACAUGCCCCAUGGAAAGGCCCAAACCCCAUUCAAGCUGAAGAAGGCUCAAACCUGGAUCUAAAUAGAAGAUGUGCACAUUGGUCAUCUGGCCCUUUUUGCCUUUAGGGGUGUAUAUAACAAGUCCUCCAAGAUCAUGUUCAUAUUCCCAGAGAGAACCGCAGAGCUGCUGGACACACCUCAGACUAGUUCAGAUGAUCUCCAAGGUGUGCUCUGCAGGUCUUGACGUGUUAAUAUGCCUUAACCCUGCAGUGGUCGCCCUUCUGAAUGGAGCAUGAGAGGUCGAGUAAAUGACAUUGGUCAUCCACUUAAAAAGUAGGAAUUUACAUGAACAAAUUUUUUAACAUUUUUUUAUCAGUAAUCAUCUAAGUAACUUCUGUGAGAAAGUUGGACUUUGGACUACAACUGAUGAUUAUUUUGCAUAGAUGACUAUUGUCAUCCAUGAGACCACUCCAGAGUUAAAGGGAAUUGAUACUACAUUGGCCCUUGGGAACCUCUCGGUUAAAGUUAAGUGGAAUCUUCUGUUUAAGUACCAGUUAGAGCCUAAAAUGUAUAAUUUGCAUAAGGCAAUCUCCAGGAGGGGGACUGGGGUACUCAGUGUUUUCCUAUUCAAUUUUGGAACCACCACCCUGGUUUUUUGUUUGUUGGUUUCAGGGUACUCCUGGGAAAGAUGUUCUGAGGAAGACAGUGAGGGAAACUACAGUAGCUUAUCCCAUGUUUGCUCAUUCAUAUAUACCACACUAACGCUUGUCUACCAUAUUCUUCAAUGUUCCAUAAUAUCCACCAUCUUCAACAAAAAGAUUGUGGCAUUUGAUAUUGAGCAGAUUGACAGUGCUCAGGAAACAACUCCUUUUCUAAAGGAGCCGGCAUGGUGGAGACAGGAUAAACUUCCCAGUCAAGGUUCCCGGUUUUAAUGUUGGCCCUGCCUCUUACCAACUGUGUAGCCUUAAGUAAGAUACCUAAAUUCCCGAAGCCUCAGUUUCUUUAUCCAUAAAAUGGUGUUAAAGCCUCACAGGACUGUUGGAGAAUGAGAUAAUAUAUCAUCUUACCAGAGUAAUUCCCUAAACUCCAUAUUUAUGCCAAGGGUGUAUACAUUUGCCAUGAGAUUGAUUUGGCAGCACAGAGCCUACCUUCAGACACCAGGCUGCCAGUACCUUUUAGUGGCACUGUUUCCUUCAGGACAGAAAAAAGACUUGUCUCUUUAAUGAAGACAUAUGUUGGGGGGAAUAGAAAAAAACGUAAAAGUCACCUGACCUGUUUAUGUUCUCCCACCCCUGAGAACUGAGGGUUUCUAGUGGUAUGUAGAAAAAGGAAUUUCGAGAGGGCAGUAAUUCCAUUGUAAGUUCUGGGCAGGAAAGCAUAGAACAUUUGUGGUGAGACAGAGCUAGGUUCCAAUCCUGUCUCUUCACCUCAUGUUCCUCAUCUGAAAACUGGCCAGCAUACCUAAUUCCAUAAGUGGCUUUCAUUAAAAUGGAAAUGCUGAUGGGAAAUGUAACCAUGCCUGACAUACGUAGGCAUUUAGUCAAUGUUGUUUCCUCUUUCCUCCCCAUUCCUAACAAAAUGGAAAAGUGUCUGUUUGCUAUGAAAGUGCACCACAGAUUAAAAAAAAAUCAGAUCUCAGCCUUUGGAAGAUGCUCUACCAAUCACUCCCCUAUCUCUGUUUUUUCAUAUCCUCCUACUGCCCAAUUUGCUUCAGAAACGAUUCUUGAGCUAGUCUCCUUGACACAGUUUGCUUUAUUUAUCAAGUUAUGCAUUCUUCACCGCAGCCCACUGACGCUAGAACAAUCUUGUUCUCCUGGAGAGCAUCUCCCUUCAAUUUCCUCUCCAACUCCCUCCCCAACUAUCACUUCUUUUUAAUAGUUGUCUUUUCCCUGAAUUGUGUGUUCCUUCUUUCCAGCACCUAAAAUGUAAUGUAGAUAAA